UAGGUUGUGUAAUAUUUAUUGAACAUUUUGACAAAUAUUUAUUUUUGUAAGCCUAAAAAUGAUUCUUUGAAAGCUUAAAGAAACUUGACCAAAAGACAGUAUUAAAAAAAACACUGGUAUUUGAUUGUCACUGUAUGUGAAAUAGUAUAUUUUGGGUAAUGUGAGCUUUUUAAUGUUAAGUUCUACUAAACUUGAGUCAAAUUGAUCUAACCCAGUAUUAGUGAUGUAGCUACACUAUUUUUCUUUUUUUCUUUUGACAAAAUGAAAGGCAAUUGGAAUAAUGAAAAUUUAAAACAUGCCAAGGUUUUGAUGUAUUUAAGAUAUUAGUGAAAACUAAAAAUUUUCUCAGUUUGUUUGAAUUUACCUUACUUACAUGAUCUAUUUGUUCAGUAUUGUAACUGUCUGGCAUAUUUAUAAUCUUCAAACAUGUGGUUAUAUCUUUGUAUUGCCAUAAUCAGUGAUGUUUUACAUUCAGUUUAUCAGCCAGCAAUACUUUCAGUAAAUAAUACACUAAAUUUGCUGACUGUAGACAUGGAACUUUAAGUUUCUAUAAAGUUAGUAAUUGCUUUAUUGUAUUAGUAUUAGGUGCUAGCACUGCAUAUGUCUGAUCUAUUCUCAUUUUAUUAAAAUAAAAAGUAUAGC
rnacentral:lncRNA from 1 species